rnacentral:rRNA from 1 species
CCUACGGGUGGCAGCAGUGGGGAAUAUUGAGCAAUGGGCGAAAGCCUGACCCAGCAACGCCGCGUGAAGGAAGAAGGCUUUCGGGUUGUAAACUUCUUUUUACAGGGAAGAGCAUAAGACUGUACCUGUCGAAUAAGCCACGGCUAACUACGUGCGAUCAGCCGCGGUAAUACGUAGGUGGCAAGCGUUGUCCGGAUUUACUGGGUGUAAAGGGCGUGUAGCCGGGCUGACAAGUCAGAUGUGAAAGCCGGGGGCUCAACCCCCGCACUGCAUUUGAAACUGUUGGUCUUGAGUAUCGGAGCGGGAGGCGGAAUUCCUGGUGUAGCGGUGAAAUGCGUAGAGAUUAGGAGGAACACCAGUGGCGAAGGCGGCCUGCUGGACGACGACUGACGGUGAGGCGCGAAAGCGUGGGGAGCAAACAGGAUUAGAUACCCGGGUAGUC